rnacentral:rRNA from 1 species
AUGCAUGUAUAAGUAUAAACGCUUUAAGCGUGAAACUGCGUACGGCUCAUUACAACAGCAAUAAUUUACUUGAUCUUGACAACCUACAUGGAUAACUGUGGUAAUUCUAGAGCUAAUACAUGCACCAAAGCUCCGACCCGCGAGGGGAGAGCGCAUUUAUUAGAACAAAACCAAGCGGCUUCGGCCGUCCAUUGUUGACUCAGAAUAACUAAGCUGAUCGUACGGUCUUGCACCGACGACGUGUCUUUCAAGUUUCUGCCUUAUCAACUUUCGAUGGUAGUGUAUCUGACUACCAUGGUGGUGACGGGUAACGGAGGAUAAGGGUUCGACUCCGGAGAAGGGGCCUGAGAAAUGGCCACUACGUCUAAGGAUGGCAGCAGGCGCGCAAAUUACCCACUCUCAAUGCGAGGAGGUAGUGACGAGAAAUAACGAGGCCGUUCUCUUUGAGGCCGGUCAUCGGAAUGGGUACAAUUUAAACCCUUUAACGAGUAUCUAUGAGAGGGCAAGUCUGGUGCCAGCAGCCGCGGUAAUUCCAGCUCUCAAAAUGCAUAGAAUUAUUGCUGCGGUUAAAAAGCUCGUAGUUGGAUCUGUGCCUGUGCUCCGGUCCACCUCGCGGUGCGCACUGGGUGUCACAGGCUUUCCUGCAGUGUUCAGCCCCGGCGCCUUCACCGGCACCGGUGUGUUGAUGCUGCAAGUUUACUUUGAACAAAUCGGAGUGCUCCAAACAGGCGUUUGCUUGAACGUUCGUGCAUGGAAUAAUAGAAGAGGAUUUCGGUUCAAUUUUAUUGGUUUUAUUGGCCGAGAUAAUGGUUAACAGAGACGAACGGGGGCAUUUGUAUUGCUGC